CUUCAAAGCCUUGGCCGUUGCCGUGGUAACGCGGUCGCUGCAACAGCGGUGCCAUGUCUUAGAGUUGGCUCUCCUGGAGAUGAGAUGGACUCGUCCUCUGAACUCUACCAACUCAUCGGACUUCUGAGGAAAUGAGAUUUUAUGACUUUAAGACGCCAUGUUUGAACCCGGAGGAUCGGAUCUCUUUGGUCAAGCAGCACCAGCUUCACCUUUUGGAGAAAUCCUCCUCUGUUCUCUCCUCAAGGGGUCUGACCUUUCUCACCUGAAGGGUUGUUUGGGAGUUGUUCCUGAUCCCAUGUGAGGUCAAAGGUCAGGGAUGUCUAUGUGUACAGAUUGUAAAGCAAUCUGAGGCACAUUAGUAAUUUGUGAAAAUGGGCUCUACAAAUAAACUGAAUUGAAUUGAA